UACAGAGGUCUCAAGCGUUGUUCGGAUUCAUUGGGCGUAAAGGGUGCGUAGGCGGCGCGGUAAGUCGGGUGUGAAAUCUUGGAGCUUAACUCCGAAACUGCAUUCGAUACUGCCGUGCUUGAGGACUGGAGAGGAGACUGGAAUUUACGGUGUAGCGGUGAAAUGCGUAGAUAUCGUAAGGAAGACCAGUGGCGAAGGGCGGGCCUCUGGACAGUUCCUGACGCUGAGGCACGAAGGCCAGGG
rnacentral:rRNA from 1 species